UACGUAGGGGGCAAGCGUUGUCCGGAUUUAUUGGGCGUAAAGAGCUCGUAGGCGGUUUGUCGCGUCUGCUGUGAAAACUCGGGGCUUAACUCCGGGCCUGCAGUGGGUACGGGCAGACUAGAGUGCGGUAGGGGAGAGUGGAAUUCCUGGUGUAGCGGUGAAAUGCGCAGAUAUCAGGAAGAACACCCGUGGCUAAGGCGGCUCUCUAGUACGGUACUGACGCUGAGACGCGAAAGCGUGGGGAGCAAACAGG
rnacentral:rRNA from 1 species